rnacentral:rRNA from 1 species
UACGUAGGCAGCAAGCGUUGUUCGGAGUUACUGGGCGUAAAGGGUGUGUAGGCGGUCCUCUAAGUCUGGUGUGAAAUCUCCCGGCUCAACUGGGAGGUGCGCCGGAAACUGGAGGGCUAGAGUACUGGAUGGGAGAGUGGAAUUCCUGGUGUAGCGGUGAAAUGCGUAGAUAUCAGGAGGAACACCGGUGGUGUAGACGGCUCUCUGGACAGUAACUGACGCUGAGGCACGAAAGCUAGGGGAGCGAACGGG